rnacentral:rRNA from 1 species
UACGUAGGGUGCAAGCGUUGUUCGGAAUUACUGGGCGUAAAGCGCGCGUAGGCGGGUUUGUAUGUCGAUUGUGAAAUCCCCGGGCUUAACCUGGGAAUUGCAGUCGAAACUGCAAAUCUUGAAUGUCUGAGAGGAUGGCGGAAUUCCCGGUGUAGAAGUGAAAUUCGUAGAUAUCGGGAAGAACACCUGAGGCGAAGGCGGCUAUCUGGCGGUACAUUGACGCUGAGGCGCGAAAGCGUGGGGAGCAAACAGG